CUUUUGAGACAGGAUCUCACUCUGUUGCUCAGGCUAGAGUGCAGUGGCAUGAUCGUGGCUCACUGCAGCCUUGACCUCCCAGUGGGGAGGUCCUUAAGAGAUCCUCCCACCUCAGCCUCUCAAGUAGCUGGGACUACAAGGGUGUGUCAUCAUGCCCAGCUAAUUUUUUCUUUCUUUCUUUUUUUUUUUUUUUUGGUAUUUUUUGUAGAGACAGUUUCACCAUGUUGUCCAGACUGGUCUCAAACUCCUGGGCUCAAGUGAUCCUCCUGCCUCAGUCAACCAAAGUGCUAGGAUUAUAUGCGUGAGCCACUGUGCCCGAUCUAAAGUAAGUUUUAAAGGAUAUUUUUUCAGGAAGAAGACAACUGUAUACAGAAGGAAUGAAUGAUAGGAAAUAAGAGAAUUAGAAAAGAAAUUUAAGAAUCUGGCUAAUGUAACAAACAUUAAUUGAGCAGAAGACUAAUAAUACAAUAAUUAUUUAUUUUUAAAUUGAUAAUCAUGCAGGUAUUUGGGCAUUAACAAAACAAGGUGAAGCCAAAUACUUGCUUUAACAAUAAAUUGACCAGGUGCGGUGGCUCACGCCUGUAAUCCCAGCACUUUGGGAGGCCAAGACGGGUGGAUCACUUGAGGUCAGGAGUUCGAGACCAGCCUGGCCACUAUGGCGAAACCCUGUCUCUAUUAAAAAUGCAAAAUUAGAUGGGCGUGGUGGCGGGCGCCUGUUAUCUCAGCUACUUAGAAGGCUGAGGCAUGAGAAUCACUUGAACCUGGGAGGCAGAGGUUGCAGUGAACCAAGAUUGUGCCAUUGCACUCCAGCCUAGACAAAAAAAGCAAAACUUCGUCUCAAAAAACAAAAACAAAAACAAUAAUGAAUGCACAUUUUUCAAGCACAAAUAGAACAUUUAUAGAAAUUGACCAUAUUACAAGUCUAAUUUUAGCACAUUAUAAAGAAUUAGUAUAAUACAAACCUCAUUCUCUGACAAAAUGUAGUAAAGGCAGAAAUUUGUAACAAGUAACUUCUAAAUAAUCAUGUAUGCUUUGACAACAGUUGAAAGACUUCUGAAUUAACCAUGGGUCAAAGAAAAAAUUGCAAUGAAAAAUGAAAAUACCUGGAAGCAAACAAUAAUAAAUGUUAUCAUCAAAACCUGUGAAAUGGCUCCAGAGAGGGACGUCCCCAGGAUUGACUCCUAAAAGUGAAAAUGGAGCUCAGCAGAGUGGCUCACAACAGUGACUCUCAACAGUAACUCCAUCUCCAGUGCUUCCGAUAGGCUCUCUCCCUCUCCUUCCCCACCGAGGUACAUGCUGGGUUACAGCAGUCAAUCUCCUCCUUACUGGAGUGCUAAUAAUUGGCUUCAGAAAGGCGUCCAGAAACCCUGGACUGGCAGAACCUCAAUGCGGUUGAAGGUAUGGAGCCUGGGCCUCAGAUGUGCAUCACCAGACCCCUGAACUUGUAGAUGCAACCUAAUUUGACCAGGUUCUCAAGGUAGCCCUAAUUAGACUCUCAAAGACUGAUACAUAAUAAGCCAGAAUGUUCUUCAGGUUACCUGGGAAACUAAGAGCCAUCAGAAGGUUGCUUAGUGAGGCUGCAAUCAGAGCAAAUGGAAUUGAAAGCUCUUGAGGGGAUUUUCUCAGGUCAUAGAAAAUUAUCAUGAGUGAUUCUUGUUCCGAAGUAUUGUCCCCUCUCUAGAGGCCAAAAUCUCACAUCCACGGAACUGAGACCCUCACUGACUCCUUGCUCAUCCUUGGCAGGUCACUGAGUCCUGUCAUUCAGUCCCCUGGACCUGGACACCCGUCGUCACUGCUAGUGUCUUGGCUCUGUGAUCUACUAUGUGUGUCCAAAUCUCAGUCCACAAAUUGAGGAGUAGAGGACUGUGACUUUACUCUUUUACAGAACAGCUUGAUUUCUAUUUUGUGUCCUGUCCUGCUGGGCGACAGAAAUUUAAUGACUCAUCUAUAAAUCCUCCCAAUAUUUCCCCCGUGUUGCCCCUAAAUUCGGCAGUGGCUUUAGGAGUGCCACAGCACUGGAGGUGGGGUUAGGGGUUUGCUUCUUCACAUCAUCUUGACCACAUGUGAGUGUGGGAUAUUCUGGUUUCCUGCUGCCUCGGGGUCCUUGCUGUUCCCCACUGUGCCUUCUCCUGCCAGCCUUGCCCAUAUGGCUCUGCCAUGCGGGGACAGUGCUACUUCUGUGCCAAUCUUUAUUGCCUGAGUCCCCCAGCACCCAGACUGCUGAAAUUAAAAGAUGAGCACCGACAAUUUGCAUUCUAUGGCGUCAUUCCUUCCCUGUGGUGUGAAAGGCACAAGGCCUACCUGUCUGGAUGAGAGGGCAGGUGGUGACAGCAGCCACAGGUGGCGACAGCAGCCACAGGGGACAGAAACCUUGCUUUUUUUUUUUUUUUUUUUUUUUUUUUUGAGAUGAAGUUUUGCUCUUGUCACCUAGGCUAGAGUGCAAUGGCGUGUGGUCUCAGUUCACUGCAACCUCCGCCUCCUGGGUUCAAAUGAUUGUCCCGCCUCAGCUUCUCAAGUAGCUGGGAUAACAGGCGCCUGCCACCACACCCAGCUAAUUUUUGUAUUUUCAGUAGAGAUGGGUUUU
rnacentral:lncRNA from 1 species